rfam:Pseudomonas fluorescens ABAC62 scaffold470_001, whole genome shotgun sequence.
AAAAUUAUCGUCUUCGGCCGACAGCAGCGCGCUGAUGAAAUUGGGUGGAAUAUCGGCAAAACGGAUCGGUGUGCGGCGCAUUUCGCCGAACUCCGCGAUCAGUUUUUCGUCGCUGCUGUAGACCCGCAAAGGAAUCUGCAACUGGAUACUUCUGAGCGCCUCUACGGAGGGCAAACCCGGACUAAGGUAGAGGUAGGCCCCGCUGAGUACGAGCAGCAGCCCGCAGACGAUCGCGACAAUGGAGUACCCGAAAAACUUCAGCAGACGAAUCAAGGCUUUUGGAUUUCCAGAGAA